rnacentral:rRNA from 1 species
UACAGAGGGUGCGAGCGUUAAUCGGAAUUACUGGGCGUAAAGCGCGCGUAGGCGGCUUUGCAAGUCGGGUGUGAAAUCCCCAGGCUUAACCUGGGAACUGCAUUCGAGACUGCAUUGCUAGAGUAUGGGAGAGGGAAGUGGAAUUUCCGGUGUAGCGGUGAAAUGCGUAGAUAUCGGAAGGAACAUCAGUGGCGAAAGCGACUUCCUGGACCAAUACUGACGCUCAUGUGCGAAAGCGUGGGGGACAAACAGG